AAAGAUAAAAUUUAUUUGAGGGGCCUCCAACAUUUAGGCAAAAAUAAUUCAACGCCUAUCUAUGUAGCCAUUUCCAUUGCAGGGUGAAAAUUGUAACUGGAUCAGAUCAUGAUUGUUUGAUUAAAUUGGCACCCGAGAACGAUGCCGUCGUAAUUUCUCGUUAAUUUAUCUUUCGUUUGAAUUAAGUUAAUGUAAUAAGGUGGGG
rnacentral:lncRNA from 1 species